GACGAACGCUGGCGGCGUGCCUAAUACAUGCAAGUCGAGCGAAGUUUUUCUGGUGCUUGCACCGGAAAAACUUAGCGGCGCACGGGUGAGUAACACGUAAAGAACCUGCCUUAUAGACUGGGACAACUAUUGGAAACGAUAGCUAAUACCGGAUAACAGCAUUAACUGCAUGGUUGAUGUUUGAAAGUUGGUUUUGCUAACACUAUGAGAUGGCCUUGCGGUGCAUUAGCUAGUUGGUGGGGUAAAGGCCUACCAAGGCGACGAUGCAUAGCCGACCUGAGAGGGUGAUCGGCCACACUGGGACUGAGACACGGCCCAGACUCCUACGGGAGGCAGCAGUAGGGAAUCUUCCGCAAUGGGCGAAAGCCUGACGGAGCAACGCCGCGUGAGUGAAGAAGGAUUUCGGUUCGUAAAGCUCUGUUAUUAGGGAAGAAUGAUUGUGUAGUAACUAUACACAGUAGAGACGGUACCUAACCAGAAAGCCACGGCUAACUACGUG
rnacentral:rRNA from 1 species